GUUUGCAUAUAGCAUUUCUUUUGGAAUAUCUUUUUCCUUUACUAUGUUAUUAAACAAAUCUUUUAGAUGGACUAGCAGAAUAUCCUUAAAUUGUUGGAAAAAUACAACUACAGGUGAUCUGCAUUACGAGAAAAUCCCGCGAUUGGCGUUCUGGUGGCGGUAACUACAUACUUCACUAUUUAUAAGCAGAAAUAGAAGACUUUAACAUAUACCCUGAUUCACUCCUGAAGAAGUCCUGCAGCGGAUGAAAUGCGUAGGGUGGGAAAAACCAGGACAGCACUUAUUAUUAUUUUUAUUAGACUUUUAUUUUGAGUUUAAUGUUUUUCUUGUUUUUUUGCAUUUAUUAUUUUUAUCCUGUGAUGGCUGUUUUGUAUACCGGUCCCUACGAGAAGUGACUUCACUAUUGGGAACUCCUGAGUAUAUGAUACGCUGUAUUUUAUCUUUGAUCUUGUGAGUGCAACUUUAAUAAAUUUGUGUUAUUUAUCCUAUUGGUGCACUAGGGUUCCUGUGUUUUUCCCUCUGAUUUAAGGUUGGAAAGAAGAAUACCUGAAUUUUCUUCGAAUUCUAAAGAGUUCUACAUGUCUGCUUUGCACUUCUAUCUUGUGAGUGCAAUUUUUUUAUUAGUGUAUUAGUGGUGUUUUAAUUUACUACACCAUUUGUUUUUUUGUUUGUUUUGUUCUUAUAGAUUGUAUUUCUUAUGUACUAUUUUAAGAAGAGUUAAGGGAUCUUCUUACAAUCUCACAAGGGUAAAUUUAUUUUAUAUAAUUUUAUUCUACCCACUGGGGAGCAUGUGUGUUAUAAUACUCUUUAAUAUAUGGUUAUCUGUGCUGCCUGUGACCUGUAUGAAAGCUGGUGAAUCCUAGAACAAAACAAACUAAAGUUAUAUCUUUCAUUCUCAUACAAUAUGUACUCUGGGGACAUGCAUUUAAUCAAUUUAAAAGCUUCACUUCAAGUUACUUAAUGUCUCAGUAGUAAUGCCACUGUCCAGAGUGUCCGCUCGCUCCCUCAGUCCCUCUGCAAACGGCAGUCUCAGCCAGGUAGGUAAGGUGUCACACCUUAGUUAUAGCCGCACUAUCUCCUCCACUAGCAUCCUAGUCCCUCUGCAAUCUCCAGGCAGGGUAAGGUGUUGCUGCACUCUCAGCUUCACUCGCUUCUAUCCCCCUUCCUUCCAUGUCUCUUCCUUCCCUUCAUCCAUAUCUCGUUCCCUCAUUCAUCCAUGUCUCUCCCCAAAUUCCAUCUCUCUGUUCCUCUUCCAUGUCCUUCCCCAUUUCAUUCAUAUCUCGCUCCCAUGUCCUCCUCUCAUCCAAGUCUCCCUCCCAUGUCCCUUGGCUCCUAUCCAUGUCCCCUCCCAUGUCCCUUACCUCCUAUCCAUGUCCCUCUCCCAUAUCCCACACCCAUCCGUGUCUCUCUCCCGCCUCAUGUCCCCCACACAUCCGUGUCUUUCUCCCGCCUCACGUCCCCCACCCAAACGUGUCUAUCUCUCCGCCAUGCCCCUCCCAUGUCUCUCUCUCUACCCCCCUUGUCCCCAUCCCAUGUCACUCUCUCUCCCCUUGUCCUCAUCCCAUGUCACUCUCUCUCCCCUUGUCCCCAUCCCAUGUCACUCUUUCUCCCCAUGUCCCCCUCCCAUGUCACUCUCUUCCCAUGACCCCUCCCAUGUCACUCUCUCUCCCCAUGUCCCCUGCCCUGCUUUUCUGUCCCCCAUGCCACCCUCCUCUGUCUUUCUUUCCCCCAUGCCACCCUCCCCUGUCUUUCUGCCCCCAUGCCUUUCUCUCUCAUGCCACCCUCCCCUGUCUUUCUGUCCCCCUAUGCCACUCUCCCCAGUCUCUCUGUCCCCAUGCCAUCCUCCCCUGUCUUUCUGUCCCACAUGCCCUCUGCCCUGUUUCUCUGUCCCCAUGCCACCCUCCCCUGUCUUUCUUUCCCCAUGCCCCCUCUCUCUGUCCCCCAUGCCACCAUCCCCUGUCUUUCUGUCUCCUAUGCCACCAUCCCCUGUCUCUCUGACCCCCAUGCCCCCAUCUCUGUCUUUCUGUCCCCCAUGCCAACCUCCCCUGUCUCCUGUCUCUGCCCAUGCCCCCCUCCCCUGUCUCUCUGAUGGCUGCCCUCCCUGCCAUUUUACCUGUUGGAACAGGAAAGGGGGGCAGCCUUUCGCUGACUCUGCACUCUCACACUGAGCGCAUGGUAGUCACAUGACACCCGGCGCUCCUACGCAGAACGGAAGGAGGGGGAGGAGCUUUCCCCUCCUAGUGAGUACCGUGUGUGCGGUUCUCUUACGGAGCCGCACGCUUCCCUGGGGUCCCUUGGGCGUCGGCCGAGCGGGGAGCGCAAAAGUCACCUGUCACACUGACACUUGAUUUUUGCACCACCCCCCUCGGCCUGCGCCAACCCCUUGGUACGCCCCUGCCCAUGAGUGCCUUUAUAUCUGGUUUGGUGCUAUUUUGAUAUUGACUCAGCUAUUUCCUGACCACGCUGAUUUCUGCUUCCCUUGACUCAGCUCUGGUAUUUUGUUUUGAUUGUUCUCUGGUUCCCUUUGACUUAUGCCUGUUUUUGACUAUUCUCUUUAUAUUACUUUCUAAGGACCGGUUUAGGUAUUUUUAUUUUUACCUAUUGGAGGGUUAUUAUUCUGUGUGUUGGGCCACUCCUUUUUGUGACAUUACAACAGGACCAAUAUGGAUCCUGCAGGUAUUAACCCCCCGGCAGUCUCUCGUGAUAUGCAUUUGGAUGGGCUUGACUACAGGAUGGAUCAGUUUGCUCAGGCUUUACAAACGUUGUUUAACCGUUCAGCGAACAUGCAGCCCGAAGGUCAAGCCCAAUCCUUAACUCCUAUUGCUGCUACAUUAGACUCAUAUGCCCGCAGCAAUAAUAACAGGCAUUUUCCUUUGCACUAUGGAGGGGAUCCAGUAGCCUGUAGAGGGUUUUUGAAUCAAGUAAGCAUCCACUUUGAGCUUUCACCUAGAUCCUACCCUACUGAUAGAGCCAAAAUUGGAUUUAUGAUUACCCUUCUUACUGAUAAGGCUCUUGCCUGGGCUAAUCAACUUUGGGAAAAAGACAGUGUAUUGGUUUAUGACUAUAAGGAGUUUGUCGUUGCAUUUAAUCGUACUUUUGAUCCACCAGGGAGACAAGCCAAUGCAGCAAGAUCUCUGUUAAGAUUGAAACAAGGGAAUCGUUCCUUAGUAGAUUAUGCCUUGGAAUUUCGCACUUUAGCAGCAGAAAUUAAAUGGAAUAAUCCAGCCUUUGUAGACGCAUUCCUGAAUGGCUUAUGCGAUUCUAUUUUGGAUGAGGUGGCUGCUCGAGAAUUACCUGAGAAUCUAGAGGAACUCAUCUUUUACCUAUCCGUUAUAGAUGAGAGACUAAGACUUGCUGUAAGAUUAGCUCCUACUUUUCCUACAGAUUCUAUGGCUUUAGCUAUUCCUGAAUCCAUGCAGUUAGGUGUAACUAAACUGUCUGAGGCAGAAAGAAUACAUAGAAGGAGAGAGGGUCUCUGUUUGUAUUGUGGGAGGACAUCUCCACUUAUUUUGUCCUGAAAGGCUGGAAAACUCCAGAGCCUCUAACUGAGGACCGACCUUGGGUGUUUUAAUUGAGUCUUCCACGUCAAGAAAAUCAGAAAAACUGCUUCUUAUACCUAUCACCUUGAAAUAUGAGGGAAAAGAGAUACAUACUUCUGCUCUAUUCGAUUCUGGGGCUGCAGAAAGUUUUAUUGAUAAAAUUUUGCUCAUAAAUAUUCUCUUCCUCUCAGAGAAAAAAAACUACACCCUUGGAUGUUCAGGCCAUAAAUGGUAGACCUUUGGUAGAACCCACUAUCACUAAAGAAACCAUUCCUAUUUUUAUGACGGUUGGUGUUCUUCAUAAAGAAGUAAUAGUCCUACAGUCCAUUUCGUCACCUUUAUUUCCUAUCGUUCUAGGUUAUCCAUGGCUAACUAAGCAUAACCCAGUUAUAGAUUGGGAGAAGGGUGAACUAGUGAAGUGGGGUUCUUCUUGUAUCAAAUGGGGUGUUUCUAAAAAUUAAACCUCUUGGCAUCAUCAAUGUACCUACUUUGCCCCCUUUAUCCACAAAGACACCAGAGAUAUAUUGGGAUAUAGUGGAAGUAUUUGAUAAGAGGGAAGCCGAUAAGUUGCCUCCACAUCGUUCUUAUGAUUGUGCCAUUGAGUUACUUCCUGAAACUAUGCUACCUAGGGGGUUCUGUAUAUCCUCUUUCUCAGAAGGAGAAUCUCACCAAAGGUUUUAUUUGCAGGUCUUCUUCACCUGCUGGAGCAGUAUUCUUUUUCGUUUCAAAAAAGGAGGGGGAUCUUAGGCGAUGCAUCGAUUAUCGUGGACUAAAUAAGGUAACAGUUCGUAACGUAUAUCCUAUACCUCUUAUGACAG